GAGCGCCUUUUGCCCUCUAAGGUAGACUGGCUCUGUCCAUGGAGGCUCCAUGCAGGAAGAGCCCUGAGGCAGGUGCCUCGCGCCAAAGGGACCCAUCCGGCCCAGGAUCCUGCGCCCACAGUGGCACCCAGGCGCCCCAAGCAGGAGGAGAGCGCCUUUUGCCCUCUAAGGUAGACUGGCUCUGGCCCUGGAGGCUCCAUGCAGGACUCCUCAGAAACCAGGAAGAGCCCUGGGGCAGCUGCAUCACGUCAAGGGGGACCCAUCCGGCCCAGGAUCCUGCGCCCACAGUGCCACCCAGGCAGGAGGAGAGCGCCUUGUGCCCUCUAAGGUAGACUGGCUCUGUCCAUGGAGGCUCCAUGCAGGAAGAGCUCUGAGGAAGGUGCAUCGCGCCAAAGGGGACCCAUCCGGCCCAGGAUCCUGCCAUAGCUGUCAACUUUCAGAUUUGAAAAGAAGGGAUCAGCAGCCUCCCCCGUCCCAGGGACAGUCUAUGGGAGAUCUAACAAUCCGGGGUACCAGUGGGAAACGGCGCUGGAAUAAGGGAACUUCCCCCCAAAAAAGG